rnacentral:misc_RNA from 1 species
GAUGAAGAACGCAGCGAAAUGCGAUACGUAGUGUGAAUUGCAGAAUUCAGUGAAUCAUCGAAUCUUUGAACGCACAUUGCGCCCUUUGGUAUUCCAAAGGGCAUGCCUGUUCGAGCGUCAUUUGUACCCUCAAGCUUUGCUUGGUGUUGGGCGUCUUGUCUCCAGUCCGCUGGAGACUCGCCUUAAAGUCAUUGGCAGCCGGCCUACUGGUUUCGGAGCGCAGCACAAGUCGCACUCCUUUCCAGCCAAGGUCAGCGUCCAACAAGCCUUUUUUCAACUUUUGACCUCGGAUCAGGUAGGGAUACCCGCUGAACUUAAGCAUAUCAAUAAGCGGAGGA